UACGUAGGGUGCGAGCGUUAAUCGGAUUUACUGGGCGUAAAGCGUGCGCAGGCGGCCCGUUAAGACAGGUGUGAAAUCCCUGGGCUCAACCUAGGAAUUGCGCUUGUGACUGGCGGGCUCGAGUACGGUAGAGGGGGGUGGAAUUCCUGGUGUAGCAGUGAAAUGCGUAGAUAUGCGGAGGAACACCGAUGGCGAAGGCAAUCCCCUGGACCUGUACUGACGCUCAUGCACGAAAGCGUGGGGAGCAAACAGG
rnacentral:rRNA from 1 species